AAACUUUCAACAACGGAUCUCUUGGUUCUGGCAUCGAUGAAGAACGCAGCGAAAUGCGAUAAGUAAUGUGAAUUGCAGAAUUCAGUGAAUCAUCGAAUCUUUGAACGCACAUUGCGCCCAUCAGUAUU
rnacentral:rRNA from 1 species